GAGGGAAUUCCCAGUGUAGCGGUGAAAUGCGUAGAUAUUGGGAAGAACACCAGUGGCGAAAGCGCUCUACUGGACCGAAACUGACACUGAGGGACGAAAGCUAGGGGAGCGAAAGGGAUUAGAUACCCCUGUAGUCCUAGCCGUAAACGAUGGAAACUAGGCGUAGCUUGUAUCGACCCAAGCUGUGCCGAAGCUAACGCGUUAAGUUUCCCGCCUGGGGAGUACGCACGCAAGUGUGAAACUCAAAGGAAUUGACGGGGGCCCGCACAAGCGGUGGAGUAUGUGGUUUAAUUCGAUGCAACGCGAAGAACCUUACCAGGACUUGACAUCCGACGAAUCUCUUUGAAAGGAGGGAGUGCCUUCGGGAGCGUCGUGACAGGUGGUGCAUGGCUGUCGUCAGCUCGUGUCGUGAGAUGUUGGGUUAAGUCCCGCAACGAGCGCAACCCUCGUCCUUAGUUGCCAGCAUUAAGUUGGGCACUCUAGGGAGACCGCCGGGGAGAACUCGGAGGAAGGUGGGGAUGACGUCAAGUCAGCAUGCCCCUUACGUUCUGGGCUACACACGUACUACAAUGGUAGGGACAAAGGGCAGCCAACUCGCAAGAGUGAGCGAAUCUCAGCAAACCCUACCUCAGUUCAGAUUGCAGGCUGCAACUCGCCUGCAUGAAGGAGGAAUCGCUAGUAAUCGCAGGUCAGCAUACUGCGGUGAAUCCGUUCCCGGGCCUUGUACACACCGCCCGUCACACCAUGGAAGCUGGCCACGCCCGAAGUCGUUACUCUAACCCGCAAGGGGGGAGGAUGCCGAAGGCAGGGCCAGUGACUGGGGUGAAGUCGUAACAAGGUAGCCGUACCGGAAGGUGUGGCUGGAUCACCUCCUUUAAAGGAGACCAACUUCAACCAACUGAAAAAACUAAACACAGUUGAGUAUAAGAAGAAAUCCUAAGGUCGGGAUUAAGGGGGAAGGAAAAAAAGCUUUCAAUAGAUAGGUCGGUGAAAAACGACCAAAGGGGCUAUUAGCUCAGGUGGUUAGAGCGCACCCCUGAUAAGGGUGAGGUCCUUGGUUCAAGUCCAAGAUGGCCCACUAAUCAGUGAAAGAAAAGUAAAAGAAAUCAGUUUGACAAAAACUGAUAACUGGUAACGGCUCACUGGUAACUGUAGAGGGGGGUUUAGCUCAGUUGGUAGAGCGCCUGCUUUGCAAGCAGGAUGUCAGCGGUUCGAGUCCGCUAACCUCCACCAAGACCCACAAAAUCAGCUCAAAAAAUUCAGCACCGUUUCUCAACCAGAGAAAGACUGCUGGAUGUUUUAAUCCAGUCAAGAACCUUGAAAAUUGCAUAGAACUAAAAACAAAGUCAAGAAGAGUCAAUCAAGAGUCAACUUAACAACUAAGAACCAGAAAAGAUGA
rnacentral:misc_RNA from 1 species